GACGAACGCUGGCGGCGUGCUUAACACAUGCAAGUCGAACGGAAAGGCCCUGCUUUUGUGGGGUGCUCGAGUGGCGAACGGGUGAGUAACACGUGAGUAACCUGCCCUUGACUUUGGGAUAACUUCAGGAAACUGGGGCUAAUACCGGAUAGGAGCUCCUGCUGCAUGGGGGGGGUUGGAAAGUUUCGGCGGUUGGGGAUGGACUCGCGGCUUAUCAGCUUGUUGGUGGGGUAGUGGCUUACCAAGGCUUCGACGGGUAGCCGGCCUGAGAGGGUGACCGGGCACAUUGGGACUGAGAUACGGCCCAGACUCCUACGGGAGGCAGCAGUGGGGAAUAUUGCACAAUGGGCGGAAGCCUGAUGCAGCAACGCCGCGUGCGGGAUGACGGCCUUCGGGUUGUAAACCGCUUUCGCCUGUGACGAAGCGUGAGUGACGGUAAUGGGUAAAGAAGCACCGGCUAACUACGUG
rnacentral:rRNA from 1 species